rnacentral:rRNA from 1 species
CUACAGGCUUAACACAUGCAAGUCGAGGGGCAGCAUGGUCUUAGCUUGCUAAGGCCGAUGGCGACCGGCGCACGGGUGAGUAACGCGUAUCCAACCUGCCUUACACUCUUGGACAGCCUUCUGAAAGGGAGAUUAAUACAAGAUGUUAUCAUGAGUAAGCAUUUUCGCAUGAUUAAAGGUUUACCGGUGUAAGAUGGGGAUGCGUUCCAUUAGAUAGUAGGCGGGGUAACGGCCCACCUAGUCUUCGAUGGAUAGGGGUUCUGAGAGGAAGGUCCCCCACAUUGGAACUGAGACACGGUCCAAACUCCUACGGGAGGCAGCAGUGAGGAAUAUUGGUCAAUGGACGAGAGUCUGAACCAGCCAAGUAGCGUGAAGGAUGAAGGUUCUAUGGAUUGUAAACUUCUUUUAUACGGGAAUAAACGAAUCCACGUGUGGAUUUUUGCAUGUACCGUAUGAAUAAGGAUCGGCUAAUUCCGUGCCAGCAGCCGCGGUAAUACGGAGGAUCCGAGCGUUAUCCGGAUUUAUCGGGUUUAAAGGGAGCGUAGAUGGGUUGUUAAGUCAGUUGUGAAAGUUUGCGGCUCAACCGUAAAAUUGCAAUUGAUACUGGCAGUCUUGAGUACAGUUGAGGUAGGCGGAAUUCGUGGUGUAGCGGUGAAAUGCUUAGAUAUCACGAAGAACUCCGAUUGCGAAGGCAGCUUACUAACCUGUAACUGACAUUGAUGCUCGAAAGUGUGGGUAUCAAACAGGAUUAGAUACCCUGGUAGUCCACACGGUAAACGAUGAAUACUCGCUGUAGGCGAUAUACAGUCUGCGGCCAAGCGAAAGCAUUAAGUAUUCCACCUGGGGAGUACGCCGGCAACGGUGAAACUCAAAGGAAUUGACGGGGGCCCGCACAAGCGGAGGAACAUGUGGUUUAAUUCGAUGAUACGCGAGGAACCUUACCCGGGCUUAAAUUGCAACCGAAUAUGGCGGAAACGCUAUAGCUAGCAAUAGCGGUUGUGAAGGUGCUGCAUGGUUGUCGUCAGCUCGUGCCGUGAGGUGUCGGCUUAAGUGCCAUAACGAGCGCAACCCUUGCCGAUAGUUACUAACAGGUCAUGCUGAGGACUCUGUCGGGACUGCCAUCGUAAGAUGUGAGGAAGGUGGGGAUGACGUCAAAUCAGCACGGCCCUUACGUCCGGGGCUACACACGUGUUACAAUGGGGGGUACAGAGGGCUGCUACCACGCAAGUGGAUGCCAAUCCCAAAAACCUCUCUCAGUUCGGAUUGAAGUCUGCAACCCGACUUCAUGAAGCUGGAUUCGCUAGUAAUCGCGCAUCAGCCACGGCGCGGUGAAUACGUUCCCGGGCCUUGUACACACCGCCCGUCAAGCCAUGGGAGCCGGGGGUACCUGAAGUGCGUAACCGCAAGGAGCGCCCUAGGGUAAAACUGGUGACUGGGGCU